rnacentral:rRNA from 1 species
UUAAUUGAAGAGUUUGAUCAUGGCUCAGAUUGAACGCUGGCGGCAGGCCUAACACAUGCAAGUCGAGCGGCAGCACAGAGGAACUUGUUCCUUGGGUGGCGAGCGGCGGACGGGUGAGUAAUGCCUGGGAAAUUGCCCGGUAGAGGGGGAUAACCAUUGGAAACGAUGGCUAAUACCGCAUAACCUCGCAAGAGCAAAGCAGGGGACCUUCGGGCCUUG